CUAUGCGCCUUGCCAGCCCGCUCAGGUGUGCCAGCAGCCGCGGUAAUACGUAGGGGCAAGCGUUAUCCGGAUUCACUGGGCGUAAAGGGAGCGCAGGCGGCACGGCAAGUCUGAUGUGAAAACCCAGGGCUCAACCCUGGGACUGCAUUGGAAACUGCCGGGCUGGAGUGUCGGAGGGGUAAGCGGAAUUCCUAGUGUAGCGGUGAAAUGCGUAGAUAUUAGGAGGAACACCAGCGGCGAAGGCGGCUUACUGGACCGUGACUGACGUUGAGGCUCGAAAGCGUGGGGAGCAAACAGG
rnacentral:rRNA from 1 species